GUCUUCGUGGGUGCUUGGCUUGCCGUGUAUGAGGGGGAGGGGGUUCGGUUGUUACUGUCCUAACCGUCCUUGUUCCCGAUUAUGUCUUUGUGGGUGUUCAUGUGCCUGCUUCGUGGUUGUUAUCCUGUCUGUGUGUAGAGUGUUCGUCUCAGGUAGUGUCGGUCGAUGUCUUAAUGUGGUGCUGUCUGGGUGCGGGUUAGGUUGGGAUAGUCCGCCUCCCGUGCCUGUCCGGUCCGUCGUGUCUCGCCGUCUUUGAUUCGGUUCUCGUAGUGCUUUCUUUC